GGGACUGUAGUGUAGUGGUUAUCACUUGGGAUUUUGAUAGUAUCAAUGUUUCCCAAGACCCAGGUUCGAACCCUGGCAGUCCCU
rnacentral:tRNA from 1 species